UGUUACAGAUGGACUAACUCUGAGGCAGGCUGUUAAUAACUGCCAUAACUGUACCAACUGAAAUAACUGCCUCAGGCUUAUGACAUCACAGAGUACUAUGGCCUUGGUGAGCAUUAAGCCUUGACUUAGCAUUUUGGAUGCUUUCAUCCCAGAAGCUUCAUGUGUUGAAGUGCCUUUACAAUACAAGUCAUGGUGACAUUUUGCAUUCCCUCACUUGCUUGGCAAAGAACCUGACAACAGAUGUGAAUGAAUGAAAAAGAUGUCGAAGGCCUAUUGCCAUUUGCCUUGAAGUACUUGAAAACAAUUGGAACAGAUGGGAAGGGAGCAAGAUCUUCUCCCGAUUGCUGCUCAGCCCUGCAAUUCCAUGCAACCAGGAUUGGGACAGUUUCAAAAACAGAGAAGACAUAAAUGGCACAGGGGCAGAUGCUGUACAUAGUGUUGAAUAAUACACCAAUUGCCUCCAUUCAC